GCUGCUGGGCAGGCUGUCCACCUGGCAGGGAGUGGGCCGGUGUCUGGCCAGAGGGCAGGGUGUGGGAGGACUGCUGCUGUUGCUGCUGCUGCUGGUGAUGAUGAUGAUGGUGGUGGUGGUGGUGAUGGUGCUGCAGGUGUCUGCAUGGUGGCCAUGGGCUGGUCGAUGGAGGUGAAGGCUGAGAUAGCUGACAUAAGAACAUCGUCACUGACCAGCACGUUGCCUUGGACCAGAGUGUGUGUCAGAGGAGAGGGAGGGACUGUGAUGAGUCUGUGGUCCAGAGCUGAUUGACGGGACGGGUGUGUAGGCAUUCGUGGAGGCCAAGGACACUGUGGACAGGGAGGGGGCACUAGACUGGCACUGCUCCCUCUUGUGUGUCAUGAAGGCUGGCAGAGAAUUGAACUGUUUCUUACACUUCCCACACAGGAACACGUCCUCGUCGUCUGUAGGUAGGACAAACGUGGAGGUUUGAGGCAAACGCAGCAACGGAGAGAAAGAAUAACAGACCUACAGUGCUGUGCAGCUCCAGCAUUUCCACGCAAAUAAAUGUCAAUUUAUUCGUAUGUACUCACAUAUUAUAUUGUAUUGCCAAUUAAUACAACAUAGUUGUUGUCAAUCUAUACUCCAAUAUUUUAUGUUUGCUGGUCUACACAGCUGGUUUCUGGUAGGUCUUUCAGGGAAGAGUACUUUGGGCAUACAGGAUGUAAUGAUGCAUUUUACAUUUCAAGCAGUGGCAAAAAUGGCUUGUUAGGAAUAAAAAGAGAAAAACAAGGUCA